CAGUUAGUUGGUGGGGUAAUGGCCUACCAAGACCAUGAUGCGUAGCCAGUCUGAGAGGAUGAAUGGCCACAAGGGAACUGAGACACGGUCCCUACUCCUACGGGAGGCAGCAGUGAGGAAUUUUCGGCAAUGGGGGCAACCCUGACCGAGCAAUACUACGUGAAGGAGGAAGGUCUAAGGAUUGUAAACUUCUGUUGGUGCUGAAGAAGAAUGGGAUGCAAAUCCAAUUUUGACGGUAGGCAUCGAGAAAGCGACGACUAACUAUGUGCCAGCAGUCGCGGUAAGACAUAGGUCGCAAACGUUAUCCGGAAUUAUUGGGCGUAAAGGAUGCGUAGAUGGCGAGAUAAGUUAGUAGUGGCAAAUCGGGGCUCCACCCCGUGGA
rnacentral:rRNA from 1 species